GGAAUCUUGCGCAGUGGGCGAAAGCCUGACGCAGCAACGCCGCGUGCGGGAAGAAGGCUUUCGGGCUGUAAACCGCUUUCAGCAGGAACGAAAAUGACGGUACCUGCAGAAGAAGGAGCGGCCAACUAUGUGCCAGUAGCCGCGGUGAUACAUAGGCUUCAAGCGUUGUCCGGAUUUAUUGGGCGUAAAGAGUUCGUAGGCGGUCAAGUAAGUCGGGUGUGAAAAUUCUGGGCUUAACCCAGAGACGCCACCCGAUACUGCUUAACUUGAGUUCGAUAGGGGAGUGGGGAAUUCCUAGUGUAGCGGUGAAAUGCGCAGAUAUUAGGAGGAACACCGGUGGCGAAGGCGCCACUCUGGAUCGAUACUGACGCUGAGGAACGAAAGCAUGGGUAGCAAACAGGAUUAGAUACCCUGGUAGUCCAUGCCGUAAACGGUGGGCACUAGGUGUGGGAUUCUAUUAACGAAUUCCGCGCCGUCGCUAACGCAUUAAGUGCCCCGCCUGGGGGGUACGGUCGCAAGACUAAAACUCAAAUGAAUUGACGG
rnacentral:rRNA from 1 species